AUAUGCAGGUUAGAGGCAUUGGUGUGAGGGCGUUGUGGUGACGUGCUCCUCCAUGCCUCGUGCGAGUUCUUGGUGUCGCGAUCAUGUCUCCAGAGAGCAGCGCUUCAAGGUCACUUAAGCUUGAAUGGGUUAUCAAGUCUACUGGAACCAUUCAUGUUUAGGCUUGUUCAUUGGUUUUAGGACAGACACUCCCUUAAGUAUGUUUAAUCACAAUUAAAAGGAGGAAGCCAAAUUAUUGCAAUGUAAGUGCCUGAACUCGGAGGCUUGAUCCACUAUCACUUGCUCCUGCCACUGUGUCAUAAUAUCUCAUUUUCAUAUAUAAGAUGAUAGUAACGGAAUGAUCAUAUUAGGAGUGCAUUAUUGGCAGCCUUGUGAGGUUUUCUUCAUAACUUCUUCUCCUGUUUUUAAUGUUUGUAUUCUCUUUGUUGCAAGGUGUGGCUUCAGGUAAAGUUGUCAAGAUGAUCUGGUGCUUGUUUGAGUCGUUGAUUACUGCUGCUUUGCUAAGGUUCAACGUCUUACUACAUGAGAAAUUUAUUCCAAUGCUUUCUCAAUCCCUUUACCAUGAUGACUACGAGAGGAACCUUCAAUGUGUAUAGAUGGUGAUGGAUAUGGGGACACACAAGAACUAGCGAACUUAAUACCAGAUGCCCUCAACUAUGAAUUCUUUAAUUAUUGGAGGCUUUCAUAUUCAUAUCAAUACAAGGUGGGAUAUGAUGCAGGUGAAUGCCUUUAUUUUGUUUCUUUAUGAUCUUCUCCUCUACUUAAUGAUAGAUGCAGUGCAUAGGGUCAUCGUGUCAGUUUGAAUGCUUUCAUGAUAAUUGGUAUAGCACUGAAUCAGGCAAGGUGUGAAUAAGUGUGCUUAAAUGCGUGCUUUGUUUAUGUGUUUACUGCUUAUUAUGUCGUACAAGUUGCCACUUUUGAAUCUGCCUCUUUUAGGCACGUGUCUUUCCCACAUAUAUGUUGGUAAAUGUGUGCACUACAUAUUUUUCUGGCCAACUAGAUUACGAGAUCCUCCUCCAUCUUCCCCUUCUCACUAAGGAUGCCAGAUUGAUCUAGCAUCUUUCCCCCUAUUUAGGGGUCCUCCCUUGGCCCCUCCUCUACUCGGCUGUCCUUUGCCAUGUUUCUCCUCUAUAAAAAACACGAAAACUACCACGAGAAUUAAUUGCUGCUUGCUGCUCUUCACAGCUAAAUAUCACAAUGAAUUAUAUCAAUUGCCAUCGUCCUAGAAGAAGAGAUGAGCAGUCAAUAUACAGAGAAAAAAAUCACGACCAAUAUUUGCAUGAAUACUAAUUCUCGCAACAAUUUAAUGAUUCAUAAAUAAUCUCCCGUUUCCUCUAACCCGUGUAUGUCUUUCCAUAUUAAUUCAUAAAAAUGAAUCAACACAGUUCAUAUUUGAUUUCAACACAACGAAAUUCAAAAAGAGGUGAAUCAAAUGUUAUUAUUUCAAAGUUGUAUAACAUAUAUCAUCACUACUAGAAAACAUUUUGUACGAGGCUAAGGUGCGAACAUUUAUAAAAUGAUAAUUGUACCCUUUUUGGGAUUUUGCGAUUCCUAUGGAAUUAAGAGGUCAUCUAUUGGCCUAUCCCUAUUUGUAAUUUCAAAUAGUUAUUUUUUGGUGCACUUCUAUUUUAGAAAUGAAUCAAUUGCCAAUUAUGCUUGAUGUUUCAAGCAGAACUAUAAUUGGUAAACAACUAUCUGUGAAGCAUAUAUGGAGGCGGGAGUCUGCUUUGGUUUUUUGCUAUGUGCCUAUUUGCUUAAGAAAAUACUUGACUGGAGAGCAGAUUCCAAAUGGAGCUGCAUUUUCAUGCGUUGGGGGCAGAAGAAGAAUAAAUAGUAAAUCCUUAUCUUAUGGAGUGAUGAUUUACAUUCUUUGUGUGAUGAGAUAAUACACAACCUAGUUGUUAUUUAGCUUGCUGCUGUUGAACAACUGACUAUCAUGAUGUGUAGUUUCUGAAUAUUGAGUCCUCGAGUUUUGGGGAAUGGUGCGCUCUAUUUUGGAAGUGGUAUUUCCUAAUGUAUUCGCACAGUUAGAUAUCAUAUUAUAUAUUUUUUCUCUUACUUGAAAUUUCUGCCAUGUAAAGCUAGGUUGUCUUUGAUUUGUUGUGUGUUAGGUAUUGAACAGACUGCCUGGUUUGGCUAACCUUCCUUUCCUUUUAUUUUGCAGGCUUUAGAAUCACUAAGGUUGCUCCUUCUCUGUUCCUUUGGUCAAG
rnacentral:lncRNA from 1 species